rnacentral:lncRNA from 1 species
GGGUUGGGGUGGGGUGGGGGGGGCGGGGGGUGUUGUGUUGAGGAGAUAAGGGGCGUGAGAGAACAGGCCUCAGGGCGUCUGCAUUUAAGUCUGGCUCGUGGUCAGAGAGCUUCUUCCUGCGGGGCAAAUCGCGGCCCGUGUAUCGCGGCGGACAGACGGCGACUUAUUCAGGGGAUUAACAAAAGGGAAGAGCUCUUUCUCCAGACGGCUCCCCCAGUGCCUGUGCUCUUUCUCCAGAGGGCUCCCCCAGUGCCUGUGCUCUUCCUCCCCCAGUGUCUCCGCUCUUCCUCUUCCUCUUCCUCCCCCAGUGUCUGUGCUCUUCCUCUUCCUCCCCCAGUGUCUGUGCUCUUCCUCUUCCUCCCACAGUGUCUGUGCUCUUCCUCCCCCAGUGUCUGCGCUCUUCCUCUUCCAGUGUCUGUGCUCUUCCUCUUCCUCCCCCAGUGUCUGUGCUCUUCCUCUUCCUCCCCCAGUGUCUGUGCUCUUCCUCCCCCAGUGUCUGCACUCUUCCUCUUCCUCCCCCAGUGUCUGCGCUCUUCCUCUUCCUCCCCCAGUGUCUGUGCUCUUCCUCUUCCUCCCCCAGUGUCUGCGCUCUUCCUCUUCCUCCCCCAGUGUCUGUGCUCUUCCUCUUCCUCCUCCAGUGUCUGCACUCUUCCUCUUCCUCCCCCAGUGUCUGUGCUCUUCCUCUUCCUCCCCCAGUGUCUGUGCUCUUCCUCUUCCUCCCCCAGUGUCUGUGCUCUUCCUCUUCCUCCCACAGUGUCUGCGCUCUUCCUCCCCCAGUGUCUGCGCUCUUCCUCUUCCUCCCCCAGUGUCUGUGCUCUUCCUCUUCCUCCCCCAGUGUCUGUGCUUUUCCUCCCCCAGUGUCUGUGCUCUUCCUCUUCCUCCCACAGUGUCUGCGCUCUUCCUCUUCCUCCCCCAGUGUCUGUGCUCUUCCUCUUCCUCCCCCAGUGUCUGUGCUCUUCCUCUUCCUCCCCCAGUGUCUGUGCUCUUCCUCCCCCAGUGUCUGUGCUCUUCCUCUUCCUCCCCCAGUGUCUGUGCUCUUCCUCUUCCUCCCCCAGUGUCUGCGCUCUUCCUCCCCCAGUGUCUGCGCUCUUCCUCUUCCUCCCCCAGUGUCUGCGCUCUUCCUCUUCCUCCCCCAGUGUCUGUGCUCUUCCUCCCCCAGUGUCUGUGCUCUUCCUCCCCCAGUGUCUGCACUCUUCCUCUUCCUCCCCCAGUGUCUGUGCUCUUCCUCUUCCUCCCCCAGUGUCUGCACUCUUCCUCUUCCUCCCCCAGUGUCUGUGCUCUUCCUCUUCCUCCCCCAGUGUCUGCACUCUUCCUCUUCCUCUUCCUCCCCCAGUGUCUGUGCUCUUCCUCUUCCUCUUCCUCCCCCAGUGUCUGCGCUCCUAAUAGAGGGAGCUU